AGACCCUAGGGGUCUGUUUGAAAAUAAAGGAGAGGAGAGGCGGCUAGGGUGAAACCCUAGCGCCACCUCCUGUUCCCACCACCAAACCCGCCUAUGCUCGGUCAUGUCCCAUCGUAUUUGGCUAGUGGCGUGAGGAGAGAAGACGAAGCCAUUAAUGCUUCGUCCUUCUCCCCACAAAAUAGGGCCAAACGAACCCUUAAAGGUACAAUCCCUUCAUUUUUUAUUUUUUCUGUCAUCAUUGUUAAUAUAGAGGCUUGUAAGCCAUUGAUUUCGUUGUUACACCUUGAAUCUGGACCGUACAUUUGAGUUUGUGAGUAGGACUUGCAUAAAAUUUGCAAGUCCCACAUCAGUGGUAGUAGAUCUUAAAACCAUUCUGGGGUUUCUAUUUAUAGAAACCCCCAUUCAUUCGAGUAAGAGAGUUGGAAGCCACAUAUACACUGAAAAUUUGCCAUUUUUAGUCUUAAGAGUUCCAAAGUCAAAAUUUUCGUUUUAAGCUUAAGGUUCUUUAAGUUUCCAGUUCCAAAAUUUAUAUUUUUAUUGUUGUUGGUGUUGGUGGUGGCCUGAGUUUGGAGUCAGAACAUAAAGGCUUCCUAAUCCAUCGCUUGUUCCCCGGUUGCACUCACAAAAGGACCUUUAUUCAAUUAAGAUCGAGUCCGAGAAGAAAAUAAGAGCGAGGCGCGCAGAAGGCCCAACCAUGGGUGAAAAUGGCCACUAGGGGCUUGGUACGCCCCUAAUUUUAAUUUAUUUCCGUAUAUGUAUGAUUUUAUUUGUAUGUAAUUAUGUGUAUUCAACUCAUAUUAUAGUGAAAAAUCCUUAUGAUUGGAA